rnacentral:misc_RNA from 1 species
GUAGGUGAACCUGCGGAAGGAUCAUUAUUGAAUGAACUUGGUGUGGUUGUUGCUGGCCCUCUCGGGGGCAUGUGCACACCCAUCAUCCUCAUCUCUCCACCUGUGCACCUCUUGUAGACCUGGAUAGACUUUCCGAGGCAACUCGGUCGGGAAGAUUGCUGCUCUCUUGUGGGCCAGCUUUCUUUGCAUGUCCAGGCCUAUGUUUUUCAUAUACCCCUAUAGAAUGUAACAGAAUGUAUCAUUGGGCCUUGUGCCUAUAAACCUUAUACAACUUUCAGCAACGGAUCUCUUGGCUCUC